rnacentral:rRNA from 1 species
GACGAACGCUGGCGGCGUGCUUAACACAUGCAAGUCGAGCGGUAAGGCCCUUUCGGGGGUACGACGAGCGGCGAACGGGUGGAGUAACACGUGGGUGGACCUGCCCUCCAGCUCUGGGAGUAAGCCUGGGAAACCGGGGUCUAAUACCGGAUAUGACUCCAUGACGCAUGUUGUGGGGUGGAAAGCCUUGUGCGGCUGAGGAUGGGCCCGCGGCCUAUCAGCUUGUUGGUGGGGUGAUGGCCUACCAAGGCGACGACGGGUAGCCGGCCUGAGAGGGCGACCGGCC